UUGCAAGGAUGAGUUUUCUACUGCAUCCUGACAAACUGUGAUGCCUAAAUUACGAGCUUUUUAACUCUGAGCAAG
rfam:Ixodes scapularis strain Wikel colony gcontig_1107728844628, whole genome shotgun sequence.